rnacentral:rRNA from 1 species
AUUGAACGCUGGCGGCAUGCCUUACACAUGCAAGUCGAACGGCAGCACGGGAGCAAUCCUGGUGGCGAGUGGCGAACGGGUGAGUAAUAUAUCGGAACGUGCCCAGUCGUGGGGGAUAACGUAGCGAAAGCUACGCUAAUACCGCAUACGAUCUAUGGAUGAAAGCGGGGGAUCGCAAGACCUCGCGCGAUUGGAGCGGCCGAUAUCAGAUUAGGUAGUUGGUGAGGUAAAGGCUCACCAAGCCGACGAUCUGUAGCUGGUCUGAGAGGACGACCAGCCACACUGGGACUGAGACACGGCCUAGACUCCUACGGGAGGCAGCAGUGGGGAAUUUUUGGGACAAUGGGCGCAAGCCUGAUCCAGCAAUGCCGCGUGCAGGAUGAAGGCC